UCGGAUCUUCGUGGGAGAGGCGACGAGAUGGGCGUCGCCGCGUCGGCCUGAGGGAGCAGGGUGGUGCCGUGGUGGGAGUGGUGGCCGGAGGGGGCGAGGUGGGGGCGGUGGAUCUGGAGGAGAGUGGCGACCAGUCGGGGGUGGAGGCGCUGGUGGGUGAAACCAGACCGCACCGGCCCAAACCGCGUUUGUACCGAUACCAGCCCAGUCCAGCCCGUUUUUUAUUUCCAUCCAUUUGAACCCGCACCAAACAAGCCCGCCUGAAGAUAUCCUAAAUGGAAAUAAAAAACGGGUCAGGCGGGCGACCACUCCCACCACUCCCAGCACGGCACCACCCUGCUCCCUCAGGCCGACGCGGCGACGCCCAUCUCGCCGCCUCUCCCACGAAGAUCCGGCGGCACGGAGCCAGCUCCUCUCCCGAUCCAAGAUCCCCCGCUGAGCUGCUCACCCCCGCCGUCUCCCUUCCACGCAGAUCCGGCUGCCUACACGGCGGACCUUUAGCAUUUCUUCCUCCGGUUCCUUCGGUGCGUGGAUCCUGCAACAGCCCCUCAGCAACCUCCCUACGCGGAUCUGGUGGCCACGUAUUCCAUAUGGUUUGGUGCGGGUGUGGGUGGAAAAUAUAAAUGGUCUGGUGCGGUCUGGAUUCUC
rnacentral:lncRNA from 1 species